CUUGGCGACCAUAGCGUUGUGGACCCACCUGAUUCCAUGCCGAACUCAGAAGUGAAACGCAGUAGCGCCGAUGGUAGUGUGGGGCUUCCCCAUGUGAGAGUAGGACAUCGCCAGGC
rnacentral:rRNA from 1 species